UCCGGCUUAUCACCGGCAGUCCCUCUAGAGUGCCCAACUGAAUGAUGGCAACUAGAAGCGAGGGUUGCGCUCGUUGCGAGACUUAACCCAACAUCUCACGACACGAGCUGACGACAGCCAUGCAGCACCUGUGUAACGGCUCCCUUUCGGGCACACCCCCAUCUCUGAGGGCUUCCGUACAUGUCAAGGGUAGGUAAGGUUAUUCGCGUUGCAUCGAAUUAAUCCACAUCAUCCACCGCUUGUGCGGGUCCCCGUCAAUUCCUUUGAGUUUUAAUCUUGCGACCGUACUCCCCAGGCGGUCAACUUCACGCGUUAGCUACGGUACCCAGGAAUCGCUUCCCGAACACCUAGUUGACAUCGUUUAGGGCGUGGACUAC
rnacentral:misc_RNA from 1 species